rnacentral:rRNA from 1 species
GAGUUUGAUCCUGGCUCAGGAUGAACGCUGGCGGCGUGCCUAAUACAUGCAAGUCGAGCGAACAGAUAAGGAGCUUGCUCCUUUGAAGUUAGCGGCGGACGGGUGAGUAACACGUGGGUAACCUACCUAUAAGACUGGGAUAACUUCGGGAAACCGGAGCUAAUACCGGAUAACAUUUAGAACCGCAUGGUUCUAAAGUGAAAGAUGGUUUUGCUAUCACUUAUAGAUGGACCCGCGCCGUAUUAGCUAGUUGGUAAGGUAACGGCUUACCAAGGCGACGAUACGUAGCCGACCUGAGAGGGUGAUCGGCCACACUGGAACUGAGACACGGUCCAGACUCCUACGGGAGGCAGCAGUAGGGAAUCUUCCGCAAUGGGCGAAAGCCUGACGGAGCAACGCCGCGUGAGUGAUGAAGGGUUUCGGCUCGUAAAACUCUGUUAUUAGGGAAGAACAAAUGUGUAAGUAACUGUGCACAUCUUGACGGUACCUAAUCAGAAAGCCACGGCU